rnacentral:rRNA from 1 species
AGUGAACGCUGGCGGUAGGCCUAACACAUGCAAGUCGAACGGCAGCACAGUAAGAGCUUGCUCUUACGGGUGGCGAGUGGCGGACGGGUGAGGAAUACAUCGGAAUCUACUUUUUCGUGGGGGAUAACGUAGGGAAACUUACGCUAAUACCGCAUACGACCUACGGGUGAAAGCAGGGGAUCUUCGGACCUUGCGCGAUUGAAUGAGCCGAUGUCGGAUUAGCUAGUUGGUGGGGUAAAGGCCCACCAAGGCGACGAUCCGUAGCUGGUCUGAGAGGAUGAUCAGCCACACUGGAACUGAGACACGGUCCAGACUCCUACGGGAGGCAGCAGUGGGGAAUAUUGGACAAUGGGCGCAAGCCUGAUCCAGCCAUACCGCGUGAGUGAAGAAGGCCUUCGGGUUGUAAAGCCCUUUUGUUGGGAAAGAAAAGCAGCAGGUUAAUACCCCGCUGUUCUGACGGUACCCAAAGAAUAAGCACCGGCUAACUUCGUG